rnacentral:rRNA from 1 species
GACGAACGCUGGCGGCGCGCCUAACACAUGCAAGUCGAACGGAGCUGAGAGAAGCUUGCUUUUCUUAGCUUAGUGGCGAACGGGUGAGUAACGCGUGAGUAACCUGCCCUGGAGUGGGGGACAACAGUUGGAAACGACUGCUAAUACCGCAUAAGCCCACGAUCCGGCAUCGGAUUGAGGGAAAAGGAUUUAUUCGCUUCAGGAUGGACUCGCGUCCAAUUAGCUAGUUGGUGAGGUAACGGCCCACCAAGGCGACGAUUGGUAGCCGGUCUGAGAGGUUGAACGGCCACAUUGGGACUGAGACACGGCCCAGACUCCUACGGGAGGCAGCAGUGGGGGAUAUUGCACAAUGGGGGAAACCCUGAUGCAGCGACGCCGCGUGGAGGAAGAAGGUUUUCGGAUUGUAAACUCCUGUCGUUAGGGACGAUAAUGACGGUACCUAACAAGAAAGCACCGGCUAACUACGUG